UCCAGACUCCUACGGGAGGCAGCAGUGGGGGAUAUUGCACAAUGGGGGGAACCCUGAUGCAGCGACGCCGCGUGGGUGAAGGAGCGUUUCGGCGCGUAAAGCCCUAUCGGCAGGGAAGAAGGAGGACGGUACCUGACUAAGAAGCCCCGGCUAACUACGUGCCAGCAGCCGCGGUAAUACGUAGGGGGCAAGCGUUAUCCGGAUUUACUGGGUGUAAAGGGGGCGCAGACGGCAGCGCAAGCCAGGAGUGAAAGCCCGGGGCCCAACCCCGGGACUGCUCUUGGAACUGCGCGGCUGGAGUGCAGGAGGGGCAGGCGGAAUUCCUAGUGUAGCGGUGAAAUGCGUAGAUAUUAGGAGGAACACCGGUGGCGAAGGCGGCCUGCUGGACUGUAACUGACGUUGAGGCUCGAAGGCGUGGGGAGCAAACAGGAUUAGAUACCCCAGUA
rnacentral:rRNA from 1 species